rnacentral:rRNA from 1 species
AUGCAUGUUUAAGUUCAUCUUGCCAAAGUGAAACCGCGGACGGCUCAGUAAAUCAGUCAGAAUUCUUUGAAUUGAAUCAGUAAAAGGAUACCUCAGGUAACCCUUGAGCUAAUACUUGUUUUCGCUUCUUCGGAAGUGCGACUCUAGUUACUUACCUAGACAUACUUUGCGGUAUCGUCUGCAGGGGAGAUCUAAUAAGAGUAUUGACUCCGUUGGUAUAAUUCUCGGAGCGUUUUCUCGAAGUGUCUGACCUAUCAAUUGGACGGUAGUGUCUUGGACUACCAUGGUCCUGACGGGUAACGGGGAAUCAGGGUUCUAUUCCGGAGAGGCAGCCUUAAAAACGGCUACUACACCCAAGGGAGGCAGCAGGCGCGCAAAUUACCCAAUAUCAGAACUGUGAGGUAGUAACGAGAAAUAACAAUACAUCACAUCUGUGUUGUAAUUGGAAUGACAGUGAAGUAAAUUCUCUCUGAAGGAACAAGUGGAGGGCAAGUCUGGUGCCAGCAGCCGCGGUAAUACCAGCUUCCACAAGCAUAUGCAAAAGUUGCUGCGUUUAGAAAGCUCGUAGUUGGUGCUGUUGCGGUUAUUUCAAUUCGGGACACUCUCCCACGGAAUGGCCGUACCUCUGCGUUGCCGCGUUGUUGCACUUGGUUGUGUGAUAACACGGAGGCAGUUUUACCUAGAAUAAAUUAGCGUGUUUAAAGCAGCCUUUGGGUAUGAAUAAUGGAGCAUGGAAUAAUGGAAAAGGAUCUUGCAUUCUUUCAUCGGUUUUUGAUAUGAAGAUAAUGGUUAACAAGAUUGAAUGGGGGCGUUCGUAUUGUUACGUCAGAGGUGAAAUUCUUGGAUCGUAGCAAGACGGUCUACUGCGAAAGCAUUUGCCAAAAGUGUUUUUACUUAUCAAGAACGAAAGUUGGAGUAUUGAAGAGGAUUAGAUACCCUCGUAAUUCUAACCAUAAACUAUUCAAACUCGAUUUGUGCAUGAUCAAAUGUGUUCUGGCAUGAAUUAUCUAGGAAACUAAAGUCUUUCUGUUACGGGGGUAGUAUGGUUGCAAAAUCGAAACUUAAAGGAAUUGACGGAAGGGCACCACCAGGAGUGGAGCCUGCGGCUUAAUUCGACUCAACACGGGAAAACUCACCAGGUCCAGACAUGGUAAUGAUUGACAGACUGAAUAUUCAUCAUGAUACCUUGGGUGGUGGUGCAUGGCCGUUCUUAGUUAGUGGAGUGCUCUGUCUGGUUGAUUCCGAUAACGAACGAGACCUCAAUCAAUUGAAUAAUGUCAGUCCGGCAGCCGCGGUAUUUUCAUCUUCGACAACAUUUGGCUACAGUUGGGCUUGGAAGUUGGGCUAUAACAGGUCUGUGAUGCCCUUAGAUGUCCUGGGCCGCACGCGCGCUACACUGAGUGUAACAACGUGAUUAUUUUGUCCGAAAGGGUCUGGGAAACCAUUGAAAUAUUUCACGUGCUGGGGAUCGAUUUCUGUAAUUUCGAAUCAUCAGCGAGGAAUUCCUAGUAAGCGUCGGUCAGCAUCCGGUGCUGAUUACGUCCCUGCCCUUUGUACACACCGCCCGUCGCUACUACUGAUUGGGU